rnacentral:rRNA from 1 species
CGAAAGCUAGGGGAGCGAACAGGAAUAGAGACCCUGGUAGUCCUAGCUGUAAACGCUGGGUGCUAGCUAUGGGACGUAGAAGUUCCGUGCCGGAGCAAACGCGAUAAGCAUCCCGCCUGGGAAUUACAGCUCACAAGGCUAAAACCUCAAACGAAUUGACGGGGGCCCCGCACAAGCACCGGAGCGUGUGGUUCAAUUCGAUGUUACACGAAGAACCUUACCUGGGUUUGACAUGUACGUGGUACGAAGGCGAAAGCUUAAGGACCCUUCGGGGAGAGUACACAGGUGCUGCAUGGCUGUCGUCAGCUCGUGCCGUGAGAUGUCGCGGUUAAGUCCCGUUACGUGCGCAACCCUUGCCCUUAGUUACAAGUGUCUAAGGGGACUGCAGACGGGAAGCCGGAGCAAGCUGGGGAUGACGUCAAGUCAGCAUGGUCCUUAUGUCCAGGGCUACACUCUACAGCAUACAAUGGUCAGUACUAAGGGUAGCGAACCUCGAGAGCCGGAACGAAUUUCAACAAAGCUGAUUCUACUUAGGAUUCCAGACUGCAACCCGCUUGCAUGAACCUGGAGUUGUUAGUAACUGCGCGUCAACCAUAGUGCGCGUGAUACGUAUCCUCGGGGCUUGAUACACCAGCCCGUCACUCAUGGGAGUCGUUACGCAGAACCCGUAGUCUCGUCAUCAAGGGAGGACCAUGUAGUAGGCGGCACUGCGACGAUGGGACGAAGUCGUAGCUAG